rnacentral:rRNA from 1 species
GAUGAACGCUGGCGGCGUGCUUAACACAUGCAAGUCGAACGAUGAAGCCCAGCUUGCUGGGUGGAUUAGUGGCGAACGGGUGAGUAACACGUGGGUAACCUGCCCUUGACUCUGGGAUAAGCGCUGGAAACGGCGUCUAAUACCGGAUACGAGCUUCCACCGCAUGGUGAGUUGCUGGAAAGAAUUUCGGUCAAGGAUGGACUCGCGGCCUAUCAGGUAGUUGGUGAGGUAACGGCUCACCAAGCCGACGACGGGUAGCCGGCCUGAGGGGGUGACCGGCCACACUGGGACUGAGACACGGCCCAGACUCCUACGGGAGGCAGCAGUGGGGAAUAUUGCACAAUGGGCGCAAGCCUGAUGCAGCAACGCCGCGUGAGGGACGAAGGCCUUCGGGUCGUAAACCUCUUUUAGCAGGGAAGAAGCGAAAGUGACGGUACCUGCAGAAAAAGCACCGGCUAACUACGUG